AAUGGAGAGGUACUCAGUGAGGAGAAAGCCUAAGGAGGCACUGGGUGGGGAAGGAGUGAAUCACAGGGAAGAGAAGAAAGCAGAAAGUGCAGGAGAUGGAAUGAUAACUCAAGAGAGAACAUGAGAUAGUCAUCAAAUGGAGUAGGAAUGGCUGCUGAUUUUACCAACAAGCUGGCCAGAGAGGUCAUGCAGGGAAACUGUUUUCACCUUCUAAAAAUCACUUCUGAAAAGAAAAUCUUUAAGAGGUUUCACACAGAAAAAACAAAGGCAUAGAAACCAUCAAGAGCAUUUAUAUAUGAAACUGAUUAUCUCCAUCUGCAGAAAAUAUUUUGAAUGAAAUUCUUUAAUAAAAUUCACCUUAAUGAGUUCAAAGAUUUAGAACAACUUGCUCUCUGUAUUUUACCCUCAGUUUUAUUUUUUAAAUGUAGUUCUGCUUUAGCAUGUCUCUUUGUUUCUUCCCUCCUCUUUCAACAACAAGAAAUUGUUCGAAAUCUCAAUACUACAGUACAUUGCACAAAUUGUUCCCUUUUUUGUGUCAAAUCUUUGAACAGAGGCUUUCUACAUGGGAAAGAGAGAAAGGGAGAACAAUUUACCUCCUAAAAGCACAUUUAUGGAAUUUUUCUUUCACAAGGCAUCCAUCUCCCCCAUUAGAGUGAUUAAAAUCAUUUUCAUGUAAUGCCAACAGGAGGAUCAUUGCUUUCCGUCAAAGAACUAUUGUAAACACUUAAUCCAUUUUGUUUAUAUUAUUCCCACUGUAUAAGGUCUCUUUUAUAAUAAUAUCUCUGUCUCUGGGCUGGUAUUGUUAUGCUCCAAACCUUUAUAGAUAGAGCUUUCAUCUUUUUCCAGUGUUUGUUUUAGAAAGGGAUUAUAAUUGAUGUUGAGUAGGUAGCCCUGAGUGCUAAAGCAACAAGGUUAUCAGAACCCCAGCCCUUCCCCACACAAUCAGUUAUUUUGCCUUGUUAAUUCAAAUUCUUCUUAGCCUGACUUCUGCCCUUUUUCACAUGAGAGACAAGUUAAUGCAGGAGUUUCUUCAAAGCUUGCUUCUAGAUAUAACACUUCUGUCAUUAGCUUAUGAAAUUAUGGAUUACUUCAAGAGCAAUUUCUUCAGAAUCUCCUGUUUUACUGGUUACCUCAGUCUCACACGGCCAUGCCACAGUCAUGAAUUAUUCUGAGAUUAGAGUGGCAAAACAAAUUUAGGAACAUAGAAAUUUCUGUUAGAGCUAAGUGAGUAACUGAUUGUUUUUAUGUGCUGUCAGUUCUGAAAAAUUUAAAGUGAAAAAAAUCCCAAAAUAUGCACUGCAAAAGAAAGCAUAAGGAUGCUGAUCCAACCAAAUGCUGAAUGCUCCCCCUUUCUUGUUGAUUUCAUUGAGAACAGGUCAUUUGCUCUUUAACUGCUAUUGAAUUCAAACAAAUUAUUACAUUAACAUUUGGUCAUCAUUACCAGCUGCUUCUUAUCUUUUAUCCAGUGUGAUGGGUUUUAGAUCUCUCACUGUGCUUACCAAAGUUUCAUGAAUUGCCUCACAAUGCAGGGUUUGUGCCUGAGAAUCUCAUUUGCAUCUGUGAGGUGUCUUGAAGGUUCUGCUAGUUUUUUUAUACUUUUAAAAAGUUAAUGUACAGUUUCUUCCAUAAAUAGCCAUAUGGUUUUGUUAUCCCCAGCAAGAUUUGCUGUUUCAGGGGUUACAAACUGUCUUCUUCAGUGAUGACACCAAAGGAUAUCUUUGACAGCUAAUGUAUUACAUUGCAACAGCCAGGGGAGGAUUGGAAUUCAUCCUUGUAGCCAUACAUAGGCACUAAAAAGAACUUGUGCUGUGGCAACCUUUCAGAAGUGGCGUGCCAAGAUUCAAUUUAUUCACUGUUCUGUGUG